CCUACGGGAGGCAGCAGUGAGGAAUAUUGGUCAAUGGACGAGAGUCUGAACCAGCCAAGUAGCGUGAAGGAUGACUGCCCUAUGGGUUGUAAACUUCUUUUAUAUGGGAAUAAAACGUUCCACGUGUGGGAUUUUGUAUGUACCAUAUGAAUAAGGAUCGGCUAACUCCGUGCCAGCAGCCGCGGUAAUACGGAGGAUCCGAGCGUUAUCCGGAUUUAUUGGGUUUAAAGGGAGCGUAGGUGGAUUGUUAAGUCAGUUGUGAAAGUUUGCGGCUCAACCGUAAAAUUGCAGUUGAAACUAGCAGUCUUGAGUACAGUAGAGGUGGGCGGAAUUCGUGGUGUAGCGGUGAAAUGCUUAGAUAUCACGAAGAACUCCGAUUGCGAAGGCAGUUCACUGGACUGCAACUGACACUGAGGCUCGAAAGUGUGGGUAUCAAACAGGAUUAGAUACCCUAGUAGUC
rnacentral:rRNA from 1 species